GGGAGAGGGAAAGAUAGAAACAUCAAUGAUGCGAAUCACUGAUGGGCUGCCUCCUCCUGGACGCCCCACACUGAGGAUGGAGCCCACAACCCAGGCAUGUGCCCUGAUGGGGAAUCGAACCCUGCCCGCCGGGUUCAUAGAUGGAUACUCAACCACUGAGCCACACCGGCCGGGGCAGUGUGGUCUACUUUCAAUUCGGGCCUCUGAGAAUGAAAACCAGGAUGGAUGUCUCGGGAGGCAGCAUACCGCCCCUCCGUUUCUGGACUUAAGAAUCUGUAACUGAAUGGAUGGACGCCACCCGCAUUCCGUACGGUAAUAAUGGAAAAUUAAAUGCGACUUUUAAAAACUGCUCCCAUUAUAAAGUGAUCUAUUAGCAUCGCCCGGCUCCAGCACUUAGAGAGACUGAUUCUAAUUGCCCGACGUGGCCUGUGGCAAGUAUGGAAGAGCUGCCGCAUCUUGCGGGCACUUUAUCUCUUUGGGGAUGUUUGCGAGUGAAAUUUGCUUCGGAAGGAAGCUUUGUUCCCGCCACACAGAAGACCGUGCCGGGGGAAUCUCUCGGUUCGGCUGGAACCGGAGGGAAACUCCGCCUUUGUAGCUGGUGGAAGGGACGCUGCAGAAAGAUGGCUGCCCUCCCUAAUGAGAGCUCCCAGCAAUCAGCGAGGCAUUCUUCGCCUGCACCUGGCCAUCCGGCUGCAUCCUUUGCAUCCUUCGCCAGCCAUCCUGGACCAGCCCGCGGUCGCUAAGACGCCGACGCACUGCGGUACCCACGCUGGGCUCAGUGUAAGCAGGUUCCCAUGAACGCAGAGCCACGGGCACACCGGAGCAGGUACACUGCGGAGAUGGGCCACUGAAGAGCAGGCAGCUUUGAGAAAAGGAAGGAAGACGCGGGGACUGGCGUUCCUGUUCGGAAUCAGGCUUUCUGUGCGGAGUAGCCACGGGCCUUCUCGUCAUUUUCAUCAUCUGGAUUGCAGGAAGCUGAUUAGCUGAAUGGCACUGGGAUUUGCAGCUUUUUAUGCCGGAGGAGUCCUUGUUGAACUUGAAUGUUUAAGCACUUGAAGCUAAACUGAAAUGUUGGCUUAAUCUACAUGCAUAGGGACUUCUUUUUUUUUUUUUUCAAUCCUCACCCAAGGAUAUAUCUCUAUUGAUUUUUAGAGAGAAGAGGGAGGAAUGGGGGGGGGGGGGGGGAGGAAGGGGAGAGAGAGAGAGAGAGAGAGAGAGAGAGAGAGAGAGAGAGAGAGAGAGAGAAACACUGAUGUGAGAAAGAAACAUCAAUUCGUUGCCUCCCAUAUGUGUCCCCACUGGGGAUGGAACCCACAACCUAGGUAAGGGCCCUGACCGAGAACUGAACCCACGACCCUUUGGGGCACGGGCCAGUGCUCCAACCAACUGAGCCACCCGGCCAGGGCGCAUCUGAGUUCCUUGGUGUUUUACAGGAACAGUUCCCUGUCGCUUGUAAUUGCUCUCUCUCUUCCAAAACCUGGAGUCAGCAGAAGGGAGCUGAGAUGCUUGAUACUGACCUGAAUUAGGAUGCAAGGGAAAGAGAAGAGCGUAGCCGUCGGCGCCGUGUUUGGAAAAACAUCAUUUUGAGGAUGUGCUUGAAUCAGGCACAAGUAAUGCACUGCCUUCUCCCAGCAUGCUUUGAAUGCCAACCUGGCCAGACCAGGGGGCAGUGCCCAGCAUUAGGGCAUUACCUCUCCUGCAUACCAGCGUGGUGCACGACACCCUCAUCUCAUUAUUACUACUAAAAGGUAAUACUAUGAGCCCAGCCCGUGUGGCUCAGUGGUUGAGCAUCGACCUAUGAACCAGGAGGUCACGGCUCGAUUCCCUGUCAGGUCACAUGCCCAGGUUAUAGGCUCCAUCCCCAGUGUAGGGUGUGCAGGAGGCAGCUGAUCCAUGAUUCUCUCUCAUCACGGAUGUUUCUAUCUCUCCCUCCCCCUCCUCUCUGAAAUCACUAAAAAUAUAUUUUU